UACGGAGGAUGCAAGCGUUAUCCGGAAUGAUUGGGCGUAAAGCGUCCGCAGGUGGCCAUGUAAGUCUGCUGUCAAAGCGUCUGGCUCAACCAGAUAAAGGCAGUGGAAACUACAUAGCUAGAGUAAGGUAGGGGUAGAGGGAAUUCUUGGUGUAGCGGUGAAAUGCGUAGAGAUCAGGAAGAACACCGGUGGCGAAAGCGCUCUGCUGGACCUUAACUGACACUGAGGGACGAAAGCUAGGGGAGCGAAUGGG
rnacentral:rRNA from 1 species